UCAGGUACUACUGUCGGAGUCGCUGGCGCAGGAUAGCGUGAACACCUUCGGGUGGUCUCUGGUGGCGGGCGAGGACCUGGAUGGGAACGAGUACCCCGACCUGGUAGUUGGCGCCCACGACACUAACAGCGCCUUCGUCUUCCGCACUAGACCCGUCGUGUAGGUUAACGCUACCAUUAAAUUCAAGUCCAAGAGCGGGAUAAUGGACUUAGACGUCAGGGGAUGUUCGCUUCAGGACUCUACCGAGGUGCCAUGUGUGUCUCUCCAGUACUGCCUGAGUUACACUGGUCACCGCGUCCUCAAUACCCUACAGAUGGCGGUGUGGGUGAGGGUGGACACACACUCGGACCUGCCCAGGAUGUUCUUCUUACACCGUGAACCAGAGUCUUCCAACAACAUCACCAUGAACCUAAGGAAGGCUGUCGAGAACUGCACUACUGUGUACACCUAUAUCUCUGUGAGUACCGUACCUAAC